UACGGAGGAUGCGAGCGUUAUCCGGAUUUAUUGGGUUUAAAGGGUGCGUAGGCGGCCAUUUAAGUCAGCGGUGAAAUUUUGCAGCUUAACUGUAACAGUGCCGUUGAUACUGUUUGGAUAGGAUUUGGUUGUAGUGUGCGGAAUGUGUGGUGUAGCGGUGAAAUGCUUAGAUAUCACACAGAACACCGAUUGCGAAGGCAGCACACUAAGUCAUUAUUGACGCUGAGGCACGAAAGUGUGGGGAUCAAACCGGAUUAGA
rnacentral:rRNA from 1 species